AUGGCUCAGGACGAACGCUGGCGGCGUGCCUAAUACAUGCAAGUCGAACGGUCUUUCUAUGGAAGCUUGCUUCCACUGAAAAGAUAGUGGCGAACGGGUGAGUAACACGUGGGUAACCUGCCCAUAAGAGGGGGAUAACAUCCGGAAACGGGUGCUAAUACCGCAUAGUUUUCUUGAUCGCAUGAUCGGAAAGGAAAGACGGCCUUUGUGCUGUCGCUUAUGGAUGGACCCGCGGCGUAUUAGUUAGUUGGUGAGGUAACGGCUCACCAAGACGAUGAUACGUAGCCGACCUGAGAGGGUGAUCAGCCACAUUGGGACUGAGACACGGCCCAAACUCCUACGGGAGGCAGCAGUAGGGAAUCUUCCGCAAUGGACGAAAGUCUGACGGAGCAACGCCGCGUGAGUGAAGAAAAGGUUUUCGGAUCGUAAAACUCUGUUGUCAGAGAAGAACAAGUUGGAGAGUAACUGCUCCAGCCUUGACGGUAUCUGACCAGAAAGCCACGGCUAACUACGUGCCAGCCGCUGC
rnacentral:rRNA from 1 species